AACAAAAACUUAAUAUCUUCAUCAAAACAAAAACUUACCUUUUUCAACAUAUUCAUAUUAAUGUCGAUGGCCGGGGGAGAGUUGCGCCCUCUCUGACCCCAUCGCCAUUUUCCCACGUUUAGAUCGCGAUCGAAGACUCUUGUUUAUGCGAAGAGGUGCAAUUUCAUUAUUUCAAAUUCCAAUUGGGGAGGGGGAGGGUCUGUGAAUUUGUAAGCAAAUGGGGGUUAUGUCCAGGCGGGUUAUUCCCGCCUGUGGUAGCCUCUGUGUUUUUUGUCCUUCUUUGCGAGCAAGAUCAAGACAGCCGGUGAAACGUUACAAGAAGUUGAUUGCUGAAAUCUUACCGCGGAAUCAGGUUGCUGAGAUCAAUGAUAGAAAAAUCGGAAAGCUAUGUGAGUAUGCUUCUCGGAAUCCAUUGAGAAUUCCCAAGAUUGCAGAGAACUUGGAGCAAAGAUGUUACAAGGAUUUGCGUAAUGAAAGCUUUGGUUCAGUGAAAGUUAUCUUAUGCAUAUACAGAAAAUUGCUGUCGUCAUGUAAGGAGCAGAUACCACUAUUUGCCAGUAGUUUAUUAGGGAUCAUUCGGACUCUUCUUGAGCAAACUCGAGCAGAUGAAGUGCGGAUCUUAGGUUGCAAUACACUUGUAGAUUUUAUUAAUUUCCAGACAGAUGGUACAUACAUGUUCAACUUAGAAGGUUUUAUCCUGAAACUAUGUCAAUUGGCUCAAGAAGUGGGAGAUGAUGACCGAGCUCUGCUUCUACGCUCAGCUGGAUUAGAAGCUCUAUCUUCUAUGGUAAAGUUCAUGGGUGAGCAAUCACAUCUUUCCAUGGAUUUUGACAAAAUUAUAUCAGCAAUUUUGGAGAAUUGUAUGGAUCUCCAAUCUAAAUUCAACCUUGCCAGGGUAGAGAAACUGAAUUCACAAUCUCAGAACCAGAUGGUUCAAGGAUCUCUUAAAGAAGAAGACUGUAUAUCAUCCAUGUUGAAUGUCACAACAGGAUUUGAGACAGAGUCCAAGUUGGAUAUUGCUAAGAAUCCUGCUUAUUGGUCAAUGGUUUGCUUGUACAAUAUAGCCAAAUUGGCAAAGGAAGCUACUACCGUGCGGCGUGUCCUGGAACCACUUUUUCAUCAGUUUGAUAAAGAGAACCACUGGUCUUCAGAAAAGGGGGUUGCUUAUUGUGUUUUGAUGUAUUUGCAAUCCCUUUUAGCUGAAUCAGGAAAUAACUCCCAUCUUCUGCUGUCCAUUUUGGUCAAGCAUUUGGAUCAUAAGAAUGUUGCCAAGCAACCUAUCCUUCAGAUUGAUAUUAUUAACACCACCACACAGGUUGCACAAAAUGUGAAGCAGCAAGCCUCAGUUGCAAUUAUUGGUGCAAUAUCUGAUCUCAUUAAACAUUUAAGGAGAUGCCUACAAAAUUCAGCUGAAGCAUCAGACAUUGAAAAUGAUGCAUAUAAGUUUAAUACUAAAUUUCAAUCUGCCAUUGAGAUGUGCAUAUUACAACUUUCAAACAAGGUUGGAGAUGCAGGACCCAUUCUUGAUUUGAUGGCUGUGGUGCUAGAGAAUAUUUCUAGUUCUACUAUCAUAGCAAGAACAACAAUCUCUGCUGUCCAUCAAACUGCAAAGUUAAUCACCUCCGUCCCUAAUGUGUCAUAUCACAUGAAGGCUUUCCCUGAUGCACUGUUUCAUCAAUUGCUCCUGACCAUGGCUCAUCCCGACCGUGAAACACAAAUUGGAGCUCACAGUAUCUUCUCUACAGUGCUUAUGCCAUCCGUUUUUACUACUUGGUUAGACCAAAAUAAGAUUGCUAAGAAGGUAGAGAGUGACAGCCUCUCCAUUCAGCAUGAAAGUUUUUCUGGAGCAGAGCACUUGAAUGGGAAACUGGUAGAAGAAAAGGAUCUAAGAUCUCUUAGGUUGAGCGGUCACCAAGUGAGUCUCUUGCUUUCUUCAAUUUGGGUUCAGGCACUAUCUGCUGAAAAUGGCCCUGCCAAUUAUGAGGCAAUGGCGCACACUUAUAGAAUUGCUCUAUUAUUUACUCGUUCUAAGACAUCCAGUUACAUGGCUUUGGCAAGAUGCUUCCAACUGGCAUUUUCCCUCAGGAGCAUAUCUUUGGACCAAGAAGGAGGCUUACCACCAUCUCGCAGGAGGUCCCUUUUAACCUUGGCUUCGUACAUGCUUAUAUUCUCUGCCAGGGCAGGCAAUUUCCCUGAUCUGGUUCCAAAAGUCAAAGCAUCCCUCAUAGAGGCACCAGUAGAUCCGUUUCUUGAACUGGUGGAUGAUACUCUGCUACGGGCUGUUUGUAUAAAAUCAGACAAGAUAAUUUAUGGAUCUGAGGAAGAUGAAGUUGCUGCUAUGAAAUCACUAUCAACUGUACAAUUGGAUGACAGACAGUUGAAAGAGACUGUAAUAUCAUGCUUUAUGACUAAAUUUUCAAAAUUGCCGGAGGAUGAGUUGUCCAGCAUAAAAAAUCAACUUCUACUUGGUUUUUCCCCUGAUGAUGCUUAUCCUUCGGGACCUCCAUUGUUUAUGGAGACACCAAGACCAGGUUCUCCACUUGCUCAGAUUGAGUUCCUAGAUUUUGAUGAGAUAAUGGCUCCAGAUGAUUCGAUGGAUGAAGAGACUGGGCCUGAGCUAAGUGGAAGCCAAUCAGAUCGCAGAACAUCACUUUCAACCCACUUUCCAGAUGUUCUAGGUGUUAAUCAACUCUUGGAAUCGGUUUUGGAAACUGCUCGGCAAGUUGCAAGCGUAUCCACUUCCUCAACUCCGUUACCUUAUGACGAAAUGAAAAACCAGUGCGAGGCUCUUGUAACAGGGAAACAAGAGAAGAUGUCAGCCAUUCAGAGUUUUAAGCAUCAACAGGAGACCAAAGCCAUAGUUCUUUCAAGUGAAAAUGAAGUAGAAGUUUCUCGUCAACCUGUUACGGCGCUAGAAUAUUCAAAAGGUGAUUUGGAAUUGGUAACUCAGGCGCAAUUUCAAGCACAGGAUCAAGUCCUCUUUGUUUCACACGAAACUCAGCAGCAACAUUCUUUGAGACUUCCACCUUCGAGCCCCUAUGAUAAAUUCUUAAAAGCUGCAGGAUGCUAAUAGAUUGCAAUAUAUGCCAUUUUUUAUUCUUUGUGGUGAUGAUAAACUAAAUGUUUCUGUAUUCAUGUCCAUAAUACGUGAAAUGUGCAGCUUCUUUUGUUGAAUCUUUUGUUGAAGGAGGUGUUUUGUCUCGGUCGAGCAAAUUGUAUCAUUUUCCUCCGGGUCCCUCAUGAGUGUCAAAUAGUUAAAGCUCCCAUGCAUCAUAAAUGAGUGAAUUCCUGUGCUGAUCUGCCUCCCAAAUUACCAGUAAUAAAGCAAAUUCCGGGUGAAUAAUCUUUUGUACUAUACUUAUAUCAAAAUUUUAAGAAAUCAUUAUGUUUGCGUGUUGGUUAAACACGUUAUUGUAUGAUAAAUGGCUUAAAAUUUUCAUUUGUCCUUAAAUAUUAAGAAUUUAAUUUGGUUGC